CCCUUAGAUGCUCUGGGCCGCACGCGCGCUACACUGGUCGAAGCAACGAGUUUCUUUCCUUGGCCGACAGGCCUGGGCAAUCUUUGAACAUCGAUCGUGAUCGGGAUAGAUUCUUGUAAUUUUUGAUCUUAAACGAGGAAUUCCUAGUAAACGCAAGUCAUCAGCUUGCAUUGAUUACGUCCCUGCCCUUUGUACACACCGCCCGUCGCACCUACCGAUUGAAUGGUCCGGUGAAAUCUCCGGACUGGCGUGAGUCGGAGCAAUCUGACAAACACCGGAAAGUUGAUUAAACCUUACCAUUUAGAGGAAGGUGAAGUCGUANCA
rnacentral:rRNA from 1 species